GGCAGAGUCAGGGAGGAGGCGGAGGAGUGGGCCGACGUCCCCUCUCGCUCUGCUCUGCUUCCACCCGUCCGUGCGGAUUAGAACCCACGACGCUGGUCGUGUGGUAACUGGAUCAGCGGACCAGCAGACGAGCUCUUCUCAUCAUGCGAGGACCACGAUGUGCCAUCAGCACAUCGUAACAACACCAGCAGAUGAUGAUGCUGAGUCAUUGGAGCCGGACGCUUUCGCUGACCCACAGUCUGAGGACGCAGUGACGCAGGUGGUUGUGGGGACACGUUGGACGCGACGUGUCAUUUCCUCAGCUGAUGAAGCUUCCCACGGGGUCGGCCGGGUUGCAAAACGCCCCCACUUCUUGCUUCCCUUCCCACGCUGCGAC
ensembl:lncRNA